CCGGGAAACUGAGUCAAAAAGCGGAAAGGAGCACCUGUCGCAUGACGGGUGCUGGAAAGAUCUUUCGGUCAUGGAUGGACUCGCGGCCUAUCAGCUUGUUGGUGAGGUAACGGCUCACCAAGGCGACGACGGGUAGCCGGCCUGAGAGGGUGACCGGCCACACUGGGACUGAGACACGGCCCAGACUCCUACGGGAGGCAGCAGUGGGGAAUAUUGCACAAUGGGCGAAAGCCUGAUGCAGCGACGCCGCGUGAGGGAUGACGGCCUUCGGGUUGUAAACCUCUUUCAGCAGGGAAGAAGCGAAAGUGACGGUACCUGCAGAAGAAGCACCGGCUAACUACGUGCCAGCAGCCGCGGUAAUACGUAGGGUGCGAGCGUUAUCCGGAAUUAUUGGGCGUAAAGAGCUCGUAGGCGGUUUGUCACGUCUGUCGUGAAAGUCCGGGGCUUAACCCCGGAUCUGCGGUGGGUACGGGCAGACUAGAGUGCAGUAGGGGAGACUGGAAUUCCUGGUGUAGCGGUGGAAUGCGCAGAUAUCAGGAGGAACACCGAUGGCGAAGGCAGGUCUCUGGGCUGUAACUGACGCUGAGGAGCGAAAGCAUGGGGAGCGAACAGGAUUAAUACCCUGGUAGUCCAUGCCGUAAACGUUGGGCACUAGUGUGGGGACCAUUCCACGGUUUCCGCGCCGCAGCUAACGCAUUAAGUGCCCCGCCUGGGGGAGUACGGCCGCAAGGCUAAAACU
rnacentral:rRNA from 1 species